AGAGUUUGAUCCUGGCUCAGAACGAACGCUGGCGGCGUGGAUAAGACAUGCAAGUCGAACGGUUGGCAAAUGGUAGCAAUACGAUUUGUCGAUAGUGGCGAAAGGGUGCGUAACACGUGGGCAAUUUACCGUGAAGACUGGAAUAACCUGCCGAAAGGUAGGCUAAUACCGGAUGUGGUCGUCUAGGGGAAUCCUUAGACGACUAAAGGUGGGGAUCUUCGGACCUGCCGCUUCAUGAUGAGCCCGCGGCCUAUCAGCUUGUUGGCGAGGUAAAGGCUCACCAAGGCUAAGACGGGUAACUGGUCUGAGAGGACGGUCGGUCACACUGGAACUGAGACACGGUCCAGACACCUACGGGUGGCAGCAGUCGAGAAUCAUUCACAAUGGGCGAAAGCCUGAUGGUGCGACGCCGCGUGGGGGAAGAAGUGCUUCGGUAUGUAAACCCCUGUCAUCUGCGAGCAAACCUUUUCGGUUAACACCUGGAAAGCUGAUAGUAGCAGAAGAGGAAGGGACGGCUAACUCUGUGCCAGCAGCCGCGGUAAUACAGAGGUCCCAAGCGUUGUUCGGAUUCACUGGGCGUAAAGGGUGCGUAGGCGGCAUGGCAAGUUUGAUGUGAAAGCUCCGAGCUCAACUCGGAAAUUGCAUUGAAAACUGCCAAGCUCGAGG
rnacentral:rRNA from 1 species